UACGUAGGGUGCAAGCGUUAUCCGGAAUUAUUGGGCGUAAAGAGCUCGUAGGCGGUUUGUCGCGUCUGCUGUGAAAACCCGAGGCUCAACCUCGGGCCUGCAGUGGGUACGGGCAGACUAGAGUGCGGUAGAGGAGAUUGGAAUUCCUGGUGUAGCGGUGGAAUGCGCAGAUAUCAGGAGGAACACCGAUGGCGAAGGCAGAUCUCUGGGCCGUAACUGACGCUGGAGGAAGCGAAAGCGUGGGGAGCGAACAGG
rnacentral:rRNA from 1 species